UGGACAGAUUACUGUAUUCUACUGUAUUCACGGCGUGAAACGGGGGAUUACACUGUUUAAAACGGUAAGUGUAUCAAUUAACAUAUAGACUACU
rfam:Nicotiana attenuata strain TT chromosome 6, whole genome shotgun sequence.